UAUACAAAAAAAAAAAAAAAAUCUACCCAUCAUGGACAAAGGACCUGAGUUUAGAAUGAAAGCGAAGACGACAGGAAAGAAGAACCUAGCCCAUAAUUCAGUAGAGCUCUAUUUUUGUCUAGCUCCUUUACCAAAGGAGUCACAGGAGGUUAAAAUGCUAGCAUGGUGAUGACCCAGCCUCAAUCCUGAUUGACUACAACACCCUUGAGAAGACACAACAAUGAAAUAGAAGGAACCUUAAUUUCUACUCUAGACAGGAAAGAAGAAAGAGAACACACCUUCAUCGCUCCUAUUUUUUCAUCAACCACAGUAGCUAAUAUAUUCACUGAUACAUCAAAAGAAAAACUCCAACCAUCCUGUUUUCUUUCACUCAAGCAAAAUCAACUUUCCUCAUUUCCCAACAAAUAUUUCAUCAGGAUGCUAUCAUAUUGUGUAUAUUAAAAUAGUUCUCCAUUAGUCUUCUAGU